rnacentral:lncRNA from 1 species
ACACUUCCAUCAAACAGUACCUGCCCCUUAGGUGUGCUAGGGAAUAAAUGAAAUGCCUGGGACAUCAUCGUUAAGUGGCAUCUGAUGCAUAAGCAGUGCCCUAGGAAUGGGGUUGCCUGCCUUGGUCUCUAAAGGAUGGGUUCAAAAGCAAACUGACAUGCUGAAAGCUGCCCUAUGGAGAGGCUCAUGUGGCAAGGAACAGAGGGUGGCUUCUGGCCAACACCCAGUGAGGAACUCAGGCCCUCAGUCAAACAGCCUGCAAGGAACUGAACCCUGCCAAUAACCGAGCCAUCCCGUGAGGCCGUUACUGCAAACAAGCUGAAAAUCCUGCUUUGUUUCUUUUGGACACAACAUGCUUUCCUUCAGCUUCAGUAGACGAUGAGGCCAGCACCACAUGGGCUAGAUGUACAUGAGAUGUGAGCAACCACACUUCCCCUCUGACGGGGACAGACAGCAUCACAGGCUGAGCUCUGAAACUUCUCCUGGCAGUUCAAGAGAGCGAUGGAGGGAAUGCUGGGGCACAUCUAAAUAAAGCCUCCAAGUGGGAGUUCCUGCUCAGCUAUGCAUGAGCUCUUUGUGACUUCAUCUCCCAGCCUACAACUUGUGAAAUAAGCACGACUUCACUCAGAGCACAGCCAGAAACAUACAAACUUUCCAAAAAUAUUUGAAUGUUGACAGCAGACUGUCUUGCAUUCCAGUGAAUAAUUGGUUUGUAUGAGUGUGUGUGUGACCUAAAUCCACAGAACUUACCAUUCUGUGGCUAUAC